rnacentral:rRNA from 1 species
CCAGACUCCUACGGGAGGCAGCAGUGAGGAAUAUUGGUCAAUGGCCGCAGGGCUGAACCAGCCAAGUCGCGUGAGGGAUGACGGUCCUAUGGAUUGUAAACCUCUUUUGUCAGGGAGCAAAGGGCGCCACGUGUGGCGUUUUGCGAGUACCUGAAGAAAAAGCAUCGGCUAACUCCGUGCCAGCAGCCGCGGUAAUACGGAGGAUGCGAGCGUUAUCCGGAUUUAUUGGGUUUAAAGGGUGCGCAGGCGGAAUGUCAAGUCAGUGGUCAAAUUGAGGGGCUCAACCCCUUCCCGCCAUUGAAACUGGCGUUCUUGAGUGGAAGAGAAGUAUGCGGAAUGCGUGGUGUAGCGGUGAAAUGCAUAGAUAUCACGCAGAACCCCGAUUGCGAAGGCAGCAUGCCGGCUCCACACUGACGCUGAGGCACGAAAGCGUGGGUAUCGAACAGGAUUAGAUACCCGCGUA